AGUAUGCGAUUCAUGUGAUGCCCACCAGAAUGUGCAUGUGUGUAUAGUUGUGUACAUAUUCACUUCUGUAUAUGAAUAUGCAUAUACUCACAUGCAAACAUACUCCCUCGAAUGGCCUGA
rnacentral:miRNA from 1 species